CGCCUCUGCAUUGGCUACUAUGUUGCAAUAUUAUUAUUCUCCGAACAGUCUAGUUGAUUCAAAACGUUUCAAUAUUAUCUGAGCCGCCUCGUUCGUUGAUACAAUGUUGGCAGGAUUGAAAUAAACCCAACUCAAUGGAUACUGUUACUUACCCUAUAUUCUCGCAAAUCGAUACUGACUUUGUGACCAACAUGAUCAUAUUUACACUUUGUAGUUCAUUUUGACACUAGAAUAAAUGUUUCUGACUCAUAUCGAUACCACAUAGACCGUUCUCGACUAAGAAGUUGUUUGUUUUUGGUUCAGUUGCCGUUUAAAUAUGUUUCGAACGGUCUGAAAAAACGUUGUCUUACAGACAGGGUAUCAAGAAAGAAGCAGCAGGAGGCCUAAGAAAUAUUUCAUUUGGCAAGUGACGAAUAUCAUGUCUGUGCUCUUGAAAUUAGGAUGUACAGUUAGAGCCAUUUUAAUUAAUCUCCUAUGAGACGGGCAAAUCAGGAGACCGCCUGAAAAAAACGCGCCAAAACAGCAGAAUUGAGGUAGGGCUAGCCCGUGCCCUCCAAAUCCACUCACCCAAAUCGUUGACAUCAUUUGUUGAAUAAUUUCACCAUUGACUUUUGUUUUGUUUAAUACUUUUGGAAUUAUACAUGUUUAAUGUUUAUCAAUUACAACCAAUGUUCUUAUAAUUUGGUGCAGGGCGAGUUUGGCAGAGAAAUUAUACAAGCCAUGAGUGUUGGAGAAGAUAAGAAAACUGAUGCAUUGCUGAACAGAGAACUAUUUGGAAGAAAUUCAAGAUUUCAAGGACGCACGGAUUUGAAUUUAACUGGAGGGGCUGAGAGCUGAGGGGAAGAGUGACAUAAAGAAGAGAGAAGUUCAUUAUCCAGCUGAAAAGGAAACCAAUGGCUUUCACAGUCUCCAUGGGAACCGGCCUUUCUUUUGCUGUCAAACCUAUGAUAAGAAACCCUCUCCUUUCUUCCGUUCCAAGGCAGCCCUUUUCAAACCGGGAAGCUCCAGGCAGGAUCAGGGAGGCAGGAGCAGCCGUCCCUCUAGUCCCUGUCUCAGCCCAGCCGUUGGGGUCUGCAUGGGGCUGGGAAAGCCACCCCCUCGUCAGUCCACUCCGCGAACCCAUCCUCAUCCUCCCCCUGCCUCUGGCCCUGUCGUCUGGGAGCCCCCGAAGGUGUGACACCUCACACAGGGAUCGGAGAGCAGGAGCCCCGGGGGUCAGUCAGAGCUGGGUAGCCAUGCCAACCCCAUUGGAGAUGUAUGUUUGA
rnacentral:lncRNA from 8 species